UUAAAUCUAUGAUCAAGGUGAUAAUAUACAUAUUUGAAUAAUAACAAUGAUAUAAAUUUAAAAAUCUGAAUUAUACAAUUGAAAGUUCAAAACAGUAGUAUAGCGAAUGCUUGUAGUGUAAUACAGUCUUCAAAUGUGGCGGGCUAUAUCAAGCUAUAAGUUAGAAGUUCCAAAUUUGUCGAAGAAUACUAUAAGGUAGCGUAACCGGAUAACCUAUUCGUAAGCACGGAAGUGUACUCGACUGUUCAUACAGAAGCCAGACUUGUCGAAGACAAAGUAUAAGAGUACACUGUCUUACAAUCUUUGAAAGAACGUAAAGAAGUAAGCCACACACGUUGAAAUGAUUUAAAAGUGUAGUACUUUGAUGUUCCAACCACCUGUGAUUCUAACCUUAAAAAAACUAAGGGAAGUCUUGCUUUUAAAACUUGUGCCUCCAUCUUGAUUUACUAAAAAUAUAAUUU
rnacentral:misc_RNA from 1 species